GAACUGAAGAGUUUGAUCAUGGCUCAGAUUGAACGCUGGCGGCAGGCCUAACACAUGCAAGUCGAGCGGAUGAAGGGAGCUUGCUCCUGGAUUCAGCGGCGGACGGGUGAGUAAUGCCUAGGAAUCUGCCUGGUAGUGGGGGAUAACGUCCGGAAACGGGCGCUAAUACCGCAUACGUCCUGAGGGAGAAAGUGGGGGAUCUUCGGACCUCACGCUAUCAGAUGAGCCUAGGUCGGAUUAGCUAGUUGGUGGGGUAAAGGCCUACCAAGG
rnacentral:rRNA from 1 species